UAACAUGUUUUGUUGGAUAAGAUAACCAAGACAGAUGUCAUGUCCUUUCAUGAUCAAAUACAUAGUUCCUAAUUCUAAUUGGCUUACUUCAUCAUGAUGGUAUUGUUUAGGGAGAAUGAUGCUAGUUAGGAUAUAAUGAAGUACCUUAGUGUUUAGAGCCAGUAGAUGUUCACAACUUUUAGGAACAAAUGCUAAGUUGGGAUUGGCGAAAAUUGUUCCUAAGGCUUCAACAUAUGUUGUUCCAACAGUUUCAUCAUCCCAUGAUCCUCUAAAGUAAAGUCCU
rnacentral:lncRNA from 1 species